rnacentral:tRNA from 1 species
GCGCCAGUGAUGUAAUGGCGUUGAGCAUUCCUGCUCGAUUAGCAGCAGGUGCGGGUUCGAAUUUCGCCUGGCACU